rnacentral:lncRNA from 1 species
UUCAAAAAUACAUUAUUCAUUAAGUGACAAAAGACUCUUAUACCAUUGUUCUCUAUAUAUAUAAUAAAUCAUUAUUUAAAUAAAUAAAUAAAUAAUAAAUAAAUAAUUUUUUAUGUUUUCGAAUUAUACUUUUUCAAAUUUAAACUUUUUAUAAAUUUUCUUUUGAUUUUUUUUUCGAAAUUGUUUUUGAACUUUUUUUCAAAAUUUUUUUUUUGAAAAUCGAAAAUUAUGUUUAAAAGUAUUUUUUUAAAAAACAUUUAUAUAUUUUUAAGUAAUUAUUUAUAUAUUUAUUAGAAUCCUAAAUUUCACAUUCCAAAAAUUCAACCCCACCCCUCAA